rnacentral:rRNA from 1 species
UAGCGUAGGGGGCAAGCGUUGUCCGGAAUCAUUGGGCGUAAAGCGCGUGUAGGCGGCUCGGUAAGUCUGCUGUGAAAGUCCAGGGCUCAACCCUGGGAUGCCGGUGGAUACUGUCGAGCUCGAGUCCGGAAGAGGCGAGUGGAAUUCCUGGUGUAGCGGUGAAAUGCGCAGAUAUCAGGAGGAACACCAAUGGCGAAGGCAGCUCGCUGGGACGUGACUGACGCUGAGACGCGAAAGCGUGGGGAGCAAACAGG